rnacentral:rRNA from 1 species
UAGCGCCGGCUAACUCUGUGCCAGCAGCCGCGGUAAUACAGAGGGUGCAAGCGUUAAUCGGAUUUACUGGGCGUAAAGCGCGCGUAGGCGGCUAAUUAAGUCAAAUGUGAAAUCCCCGAGCUUAACUUGGGAAUUGCAUUCGAUACUGGUUAGCUAGAGUGUGGGAGAGGAUGGUAGAAUUCCAGGUGUAGCGGUGAAAUGCGUAGAGAUCUGGAGGAAUACCGAUGGCGAAGGCAGCCAUCUGGCCUAACACUGACGCUGAGGUGCGAAAGCAUGGGGAGCAAACAGGAUUAGAUACCCUGAUAGUCCAUGCCGUAAACGAUGUCUACUAGCCGUUGGGGCCUUUGAGGCUUUAGUGGCGCAGCUAACGCGAUAAGUAGACCGCCUGGGGAGUACGGUCGCAAGACUAAAACUCAAAUGAAUUGACGGGGGCCCGCACAAGCGGUGGAGCA